rnacentral:rRNA from 1 species
CGUAGGCAGCGAGCGUUGUUCGGAGUUACUGGGCGUAAAGGGUGUGUAGGCGGUUGUUUAAGUUUGGUGUGAAAUCUCCCGGCUCAACUGGGAGGGUGCGCCGAAUACUGAAUGACUUCGAGUGCGGGAGAGGUGAGUGGAAUUCCUGGUGUAGCGGUGAAAUGCGUAGAUAUAAGGAGGAACACCGGUGGUGUAGACGGCUCACUGGACCGUAACUGACGCUGAGACACGAAAGCGUGGGUAGCAAACAGGAUUAGAUACCCUGGUAGUCCACGCCCUAAACGAUGCAUAUUUGGUGUGGGCAGUUCAUUCUGUCCGUGCCGGAGCCAACGCGUUAAAUAUGCCGCCUGGGGAGUACAGUCGCAAGGCUG